rnacentral:lncRNA from 1 species
UUGGAUAGGAUCCGGGAGAAACAGAGUGGGGACUCUCACUUGUUGAGGUUUCGAGAGCAGUUAGAGAGGAGACAGGCAGAGGAUUUUGUUGUGGAUAGUUCAGUAGUAUUGCGGUACAGGGACCGACUGUAUAUGCCUAUGGAUUUAGAGAUCCGAGAGGAGAUUUUGAGAGAGGCUCAUUAUUCACCUUGUACGGUUCACACUGGUGGAACCAAUAUGUAUAAGGAUUUGAAGGCACAGUUCUGGUGGAAUGGAAUGAAGAAGAACAUUGGCAGAUUUGUAGCUCAGUGUCGACUUGUCAACAGGUAAAGGC